AGUGUAAGUGAAAGCAACACGCACUGGCAGGAAGAACAGCAAACGCCGAUGAAGGAAAAGGGUCUUUGCAGUGAUGGGCGUUACCAGAGAGGGCGAUGGCCAGAGGACACAAAUGGGACGGGGAGGCAGCACGUUGGGGGGGGGACACGACACGGCUCGGGCCCGCCAGUGCCCCAACGGGGUCCUAGUUAUUAUUAUUUUUCCUCCGCUUUAAACUGGAAAAUGGCCCACUUCCCACUGGCGAAAACUCAGGAAAUUUGGCAGGACGACCGGGCCUGGUGAAAAAUUCGAUAUUCUGAAGUCGCCCAAACAAUAAAAUACAAAAUGGCUCCAUAGCGCCCCCUAAGGUGAAAAUUCACACUAUUGACUGUCACGCCUGUACGCUUUGUCAUAUUGACACAAAAAUUGACACACACAUGUAUCUCAAUAAGAUCUACAAAAAAGUCAGUGCGGGCGUAUCUGUCAAAUGUACGGUUAAAGGGUUAUUUCGCAUUUUUUGCAGAUCCGCACACAUUGGAAUUUCGCUAACUCCUCCUAAGGCUUUCUGUCCACCGGCACCACAUUUGCUCAGGCCAAUCUACACUCCAUGGCCAUUCAAAGUUGUACAAAUCAUGAUGCUGCACCCCAUGGUUUAGGUUCUAGGGGGCGCCAAAAAUAACCCUAAAAUCCACAUUCUUAAAAGUUUUAUAACUUUUUAUUUUUGCCCUCACUGGCCUCCAAGUUUUCUAGGAUGAUGCAAUGUCCAGCCAUCAACACAUUUGUGAAGGAAUUUUUACUCCCCAAAAGAGCGCCCCCCCAUGGCAGGACAAAAAAGUCAAUUUUUUCUUGUCCCCUAAGGUGAAAAUACACAUUGUUGAAUGCCACGCCUGUACGCUUUGUCAUAUUGACACAAAAUUUGACAAUCACGUGUAUCUCAAUAAGAUCUACUAAAAAGUCAAUGCGCGCGUAUCUGUAAAAUGUACGGUUAAAGGGCUAUUUCCCUUUUUUUGCGAUUCGCACACAUUGGAAUGUGGCUAACUCCUCCUAAGGUUUUCGUCCCACUGACACCAAAUUUGCUCAGGCCAAUCUACACCCCAUGGCCAUUCAAAGUUGUAAAAAUCAUGACGCUGCACCCCAUGGUCUACGUUCUAGGGGGCGCCAAAGAGGACCCAAAUAUCCACAUUUUUAAAGUCUUAUAACUUUUUAUUUUUGUCCUCACUGGCCUCCAAGUUUUCUAGGAUGAUGCAAUGUCCAGCCAUCAACACAUUUGUGAAGGAAUUUUUUCUCCCCAAAAGAGCGCCCCCCCAUGGCAGGAGAAAAAGUCAAGUUUUUCCUGCCCAUCGCUCAAUGGCUCAAACGCAUCGCUCUCUCGGCAAAACCGAAAGGAGGAGCAACUUGCCAUUUGGAUAUAUACUAGCUGUGUUUGUGCCCUCACUCAUGGUCCAGACUUUUUUCAAAAAGGACAUGGAGUUUGUCUGCAGCGAGCGUUUUGGUAGAAACUGCGCCUCCCAUUCAUUAUAAUGGUAAAUGACCACAGACAAGUGCGCACACCAUCUUUGGACCUUGAGUGUGAUGCGAUCGGGAGGGGUAGGCGGUCGCGCUGGGGGCGGCGUGACACGGCUCGGGCCCGCCAGUGCCCCACCGGGGCCCUAGUUAGGGCCCGAGCGUAGCUGCUAAGCAGCUGCGAGAGCCCUCUUGUUCCUGAUGGAUUCUUCUUUAGGGCCCGAGCGUAGCUGCUAAGCAGCUGCGAGAGCCCUCUUGUUCCUGAUGGAUUCUUCUUUUGUUAUUAUUAUUAUUAUUAUUUUUCCUCCGCUUUAAACUGGAAAAUGGCCCACUUCCCACUGGCGAAAACUCAUGAAAUUUGGCAGGACGACCGGGCCUGGUGAAAAAUUCGAUAUUCUGAAGUCGCCCAAACAAUAAAAUGCAAAAUGGCUCCAUAGCGCCCCCUAAGGUGGAAAUUCACACUGUUGACUGUCACGCCUGUACGCUUUGUCAUAUUGACACAAAAAUUGACACACACAUGUAUCUCAAUAAGAUCUACAAAAAAGUCAGUGCGGGCGUAUCUGUCAAAUGUACGGUUAAAGGGUUAUUUCGCAUUUUUUGCCGAUCCGCACACAUUGAAAUUUCGCUAACUCCUCCGAAGGCUUUCGUUCCACCGGCACCACAUUUGCUCAGGCCAAUCUACACCCCAUGGCCAUCGAAAGUUGUACAAAUCAUGACGCUGCACCCCACGGUUUAGGUUCUAGGGGGCGCCAAAGAUAACCAAAAAGUCCACAUUCUUAAAAGUCUUAUAACUUUUUAUUUUUUUCCUCACUGGCCUCCAAGUUCUCUAGGAUGAUGUAAUGUCCAGCCAUCAACACAUUUGUAAAGGAAUUUUUACUCCCGAAAAAGAGCGCCCCCCCAUGGCAGGAGAAAAAAGUCAAUUUUUUCUUGUCCCCUAAGGUGAAAAAACACAUUGUUGACUGUCACGCCUAUACGCUUUGUCAAAAUGACACAAAAUUUGACACACACGUGUAUCUCAAUAAGAUUUACGAAAAUAUCAAUGGGCACGUAUCUGUAAAAUGUACGGUUAAAGGGCUAUUUCGCAUUUUUUGCCGAUUCGCACACAUUGGAAUGUGGCUAACUCCUCCUAAGGCUUUCGUCCCACCAACACCAAAUUUGCUCAAGCCGAUCUACAUCCCAUGGCCAUUCAAAGUUGUAGAAAUCAUGACGCUGCGCCCCACGGUUUACGUUCUAGGGGGCGCCAAAGAUGACCCAAAUAUCCACAUUCUUAAAAGAAUCCACAUCCCCCCCCCCCCAAGGCAGGAGAAAAAGUCAAGUUAACCAUGCCCAUCGGUCAAUG